AAGCGUAUAGAAGCAUCGCGGCAGAGGCCCUUCGCCCUCUCUCCAUCCGUGUGUCUUCGGCUGUUUCGCCAGGUUUAACUUCAGUGGUGCGGCCUCUUUUCCUCCUGCUCCUCUUUCCGUGCGUGUGGUUCCUCCGGAGAUGCCGGUGUGCAUCGAGUGUGGACACGGUGUUCCGCGCAUCAUCAAGCCGGACACCGAAACAGUGGAGCGGUGCGGAGAGUGCGGGCACAUCUGCGAUAUCUGCUACGAAUUCGGUGAUGUACAGAUUUGGAUUGAUGUGGUUCUGCUGCGCCACCGGGCGUGGGCGCAUGUUCUCUUCAACCAGACUGACUACUACACAAAACUCGUCAUCUUCGUGCUCUGCUGCGUGGUGGAGGCGGUCGUGGUGCACAGCCUCACCGUGCUUAAGGCCAUUCCCUUCUUCACGGAUGACCUCGAGAAUAGUUCCCUCUAUACCCCAGAGCGCCAGGUGCGAUCGCUGCAGCUCGUGCGCAUAAUUCAGAGCUCCUUUCUGCCGCUGAUGAACUACCCAUCAGCAAUUCCCCACCUCUUCAUCUUUACCUUCACAGAAAAUGCGCUUGUUGCCUCUAUCGCCACGUGGCUCGGCCGCUUUUUCUACCGCAGCUACGGCCACAGAGAACACCUGUGGUUCGUGGAGGCAGCCUUGGCCUCCUACGCAAAGCUGAGCUACGUCCUGUUUCUCAUCUGGGCCAUUCCACCGUCGAUGCUCCCUAUGGUCGACUUUGUGUACGUUCUGUGGCUAGGAUGCGCCUUCACGGUGCUGGGGUUCGAUCGCCAUUGGAUGUACCCCGUAGCAGCCGUCCUCAUCUGCGUCUGUGCUCGCGCGCUGUUUCGCUACCUCACAAAGUGGAGCCCUCAGGUGCUCUGCUAGCUGCGGUGUCCCUCUGCCACGUGGCUUCGGCUUUGUUUCUAUGCCUUCUUUCGCCGUCUAUGCCUAUGGCGGCAAGAUGGAGAGCUUGGGUGCUGCUUCUGCUGGCGCUGCUGUGACUAUGGUUGGCACGCCGACUCGCUUCUCUUGUUCUCUUUCGCUCCUUCACCGUUGUUCCCCCCACCUGGCGCUCGCCUUCCACGCUCUUUCUCCUCUCCGAAAAAAAAAACGCAGGAGAGGAGAUGUCUGCCCAACA
rnacentral:misc_RNA from 1 species